rnacentral:rRNA from 1 species
GAUGAACGCUGGCGGCGUGCCUAAUACAUGCAAGUCGAGCGAACAGACGAGGAGCUUGCUCCUCUGACGUUAGCGGCGGACGGGUGAGUAACACGUGGAUAACCUACCUAUAAGACUGGGAUAACUUCGGGAAACCGGAGCUAAUACCGGAUAAUAUAUUGAACCGCAUGGUUCAAUAGUGAAAGACGGUUUUGCUGUCACUUAUAGAUGGAUCCGCGCCGCAUUAGCUAGUUGGUAAGGUAACGGCUUACCAAGGCAACGAUGCGUAGCCGACCUGAGAGGGUGAUCGGACACACUGGAACAGAGACACGGUCCAGACUCCUACGGGAGGCAGCAGUAGGGAAUCUGCCGCAAUGGGCGAAAGCUUGACGGAGCAACGCCGCGUGAGUGAUGAAGGUCUUCGGAUCGUAAAACUCUGUUAUUAGGGAAGAACAAAUGUGUAAGUAACUAUGCACGUCUUGACGGUACCUAAUCAGAAAGCCACGGCUAACUACG